GGACAGAGACAGUGAUGGCACGGAAGCAGGCUUGGACUCUGACUUUGAGCACCCCCUCGACGGCCUUACAGAUGAUGAUGGUGGUGAUGAUGAUGAAGACGAUAACGGGCCAACUUCUGAUUCUGAACACAUGGUUAAUGAUGACAUGAUGAGGUCCCCACUAUACAGAGGAGCAUCUGUUACUCUUGGGCAAACCAUCCUACUUCUGAUGGCCUUUGCUGGAACCGUGGGAUUGACACAAGAUGGUCUGCAAAAACUUCUUCAAAUUUUGAUUCUUGUUCUACCACCAGAUUGCCACUUGCCAGCAACAAAAUAUCUCUUCAAAAAACUAUUCAAAACUGGGAAAUAUGUUUGUCAUAUAUAUUGCCCCAACUGCUUUUGUCUUUUGGAUAAUAAUACAUGUAAGACCUGCCAUCAGGCGUUUGACAAAAACGAACUAAAAAAAAAUGGAAACUUU